rnacentral:rRNA from 1 species
CCUAAGGGUGGCUGCAGUGGGGAAUAUUGGACAAUGGGCGAAAGCCUGAUCCAGCCAUGCCGCGUGUGUGAAGAAGGCCUUCGGGUUGUAAAGCACUUUCAGUGGGGAAGAAAGCCUUGGGGCUAAUACCCUCGAGGAAGGACAUCACCCACAGAAGAAGCACCGGCUAACUCCGUGCCAGCAGCCGCGGUAAUACGGAGGGUGCGAGCGUUAAUCGGAAUUACUGGGCGUAAAGCGCGCGUAGGCGGUCUGAUAAGCCGGUUGUGAAAGCCCCGGGCUCAACCUGGGAACGGCAUCCGGAACUGUCAGGCUAGAGUGCAGGAGAGGAAGGUAGAAUUCCCGGUGUAGCGGUGAAAUGCGUAGAGAUCGGGAGGAAUACCAGUGGCGAAGGCGGCCUUCUGGACUGACACUGACGCUGAGGUGCGAAAGCGUGGGUAGCAAACAGGAUUAGAUACCCCAGUAGUC